UACGAAGGGGGCUAGCGUUGCUCGGAAUCACUGGGCGUAAAGCGCACGUAGGCGGCUUGUUAAGUCAGGGGUGAAAUCCUGGAGCUCAACUCCAGAACUGCCUUUGAUACUGGCGAGCUUGAGUCCGGGAGAGGUGAGUGGAACUGCGAGUUGUAGAGGUGAAAUUCGUAGAUAUUCGCAAGAACACCAGUGGCGAAGGCGGCUCACUGGCCCGGUACUGACGCUGAGGUGCGAAAGCGUGGGGAGCAAACAGG
rnacentral:rRNA from 1 species